CAAGAAGAACUAGAGGCUCAAAAUGACGAGGCAGCUGCAGUAGGAUUACUGCAGGAGAUGCAGGGGACACCCAAAUCAGAGAAGUUGCAAAAUCUGUUUUGGGGAUGGCGUUACAGAUUUCGCAGGAUUUACUGGAAUCUCAGACGUAUCAACCAGCGGCUGAUCAGGCGUCUCCGACGUCUCAGACGUAUCAUGGGUCGUAGAUGGUGGCGCCAUCAGCAUUGUGGAUAAGCACCUGUAUUGAGGAUCCUCUCCUGUCUCCAUAUUGAAUGGACCACUAUGGAACUCACACGUCACCUGACAUCACCUGCCAUUAUUACCAACGGACGCAGAUCUGCACAUCACAAUAUAUCCAUCCAUUGUACCGUCCAUAUCUUCUGAAUGUACCGUCCAUAUCUUCUGAAUGUACCGUCCAUAUCUUCUGAAUGUA